GGGCUAGCAAAGUCUGUUGUAAGUGUGGUUGGGUGAGUAUAGUAAGAGUUAGGGAAAUAUGUAUUUAUAAAGAAGUAGAAUUUGUAUUAAUGAGAUUUGUUUUUAAUUGAGGAUGAAUGUUGAGGCCACUAAGGUUAAGAGAUAAAAGGGGAUUAGAUACCCCUGUAUACUUAAUAUGAAGGAAAUGGGUGUAUAGGGUAGUAAGAAGAUAUGGUCUUGAAACUUAAAGGAUUUGGCGGUAUUUAAGUCUAGCUAGAGGAACCUGUGCAGUAAAUGAUAAUCCACAAGAAUCUUGCUUUAUUUUGUUAGUUCAGUUUGUAUACCGCCAUUAUUAGGUAGUUUUGAAAAGAAGUUACUAAGGUAAUUCUGUUAAUAUAUUAGGUCAAGGUGCAGCUUAUAGUAAAGGUGUCGUGGGUUACGAUUUGUAAAAUAAGUGGAUAAGAUUAUGGAAGAUUUAUUACUUUGAAAUUGGAUUUAGCAGUAAAUUUUGUGAAUUAUGCGAACUUGAAAGUUAGCUCUUAAAUAUGUACACAUCGCCCGUCGUUCUCGCUUA
rnacentral:rRNA from 1 species